UGUCAGCACAUGCCUUAAAAUGGUAAAGCCGCGAAUGGCUCGGUAUAACAGCCGCAGUCUAUUAGACCGUAGUUAUCUACUUGGAUAACUGUGGCAAUUCUAGAGCUAAUACAUGCAAUUAAGCUCGGACCGCAAGGGAAGAGCGCAUUUAUUAGACCAAAACCAAUCGAGUUUCGGCUCGCGUUUUGGUGACUCUGAAUAACUUAGUUGAUCGCACGGUCUUAGUACCGGCGACGUAUCUUUCGAAUGUCUGCCUUAUCAACUUUCGAUGGUAGGUUAUACGCCUACCAUGGUUAUAACGGGUAACGGAGAAUUAGGGUUCGACUCCGGAGAGGGAGCCUGAGAAAUGGCUACCACAUCCAAGGAAGGCAGCAGGCGCGCAAAUUACCCAAUCUCAGAACGAGGAGGUAGUGACGAAAAAUAACAAAACAGUCCACUUUGUGGCCUGUUAUCGGAAUGGGUACAAUUUAAAACUUUUAACGAGUAUCAAUUAGAGGGCAAGUCUGGUGCCAGCAGCCGCGGUAAUUCCAGCUCUAAUAGCGUAUAUUAAAGUUGUUGUGGUUAAAACGCCCGUAGUUGGUUCUUCGGUCUCGAAGCUUGGUAGCUCGUAAGGGCUUAACCGGGUCUUCUGGCCUACACUUUUAGUAUGCUCCCGAUGCUCUUUAUUGAGUGUCUCGAGUUGCUAGAACGUUUACUUUGAAAAAAUUAGAGUGCUAAAAGCAGGCUAUAUGCUUGAAUAAAGUGCAUGGAAUAAUGGAAUAGGACUUUAGUUUUAUUUUGUUGGUUUUCGAAAUUAAAGUAAUGAUUAAGAGGAACAGACGGGGGCAUUCGUAUUGUUGCGUUAGAGGUGAAAUUCUUGGAUCGUAGCAAGACGAACAACUGCGAAAGCAUUUGCCAAGAAUGUUUUCAUUAAUCAAGGACGAUAGUUAGAGGUUCGAAGGCGAUCAGAUACCGCCCUAGUUCUAACCGUAAACUAUGCCAACUAGCGAUCUGUCGGUGUUAAAAUUUGACUCGACAGGCAGCUUCCGGGAAACCAAAGUGUUUAGGUUCCGGGGGAAGUAUGGUUGCAAAGCUUAAACUUAAAGGAAUUGACGGAAGGGCACCACCAGGAGUGGAGCCUGCGGCUUAAUUUGACUCAACACGGGGAAACUCACCCGGCCAGGACACGAUAAGGAUUGACAGAUUGAUAGCUCUUUCUUGAUUUUGUGGGUGGUGGUGCAUGGCCGUUCUUAGUUGGUGGAGCGAUUUGUCUGGUUAAUUCCGAUAACGAACGAGACUCUAGCCUAUUAAAUAGACGAUAUAUUAUUUUGUAUAUAGAGCUUCUUAGAGGGACAAGCAGCUUCUAGCUGCACGAGAUUGAGCAAUAACAGGUCUGUGAUGCCCUUAGAUGUCCGGGGCUGCACGCGCGCUACAAUGAAAAUAGCAGCAUGCGUUACAACCUUUUCUGAAGAGAAUUGGUAAACACGAAAUAUUUUCGUGCUUGGGAUAGGGGAUUGCAAUUAUUGCCCUUGAACGAGGAAUUCCCAGUAAGUUCAAGUCAUCAGCUUGAGUUGAUUACGUCCCUGCCCUUUGUACACACCGCCCGUCGCUACUACCGAUUGGAAGCUCUAGUGAAAACUUCGGACUGACGUCAAAGCGGCUUAACGGUCGCUACGUCGUUGGAAAGACGUUUGAACUGCAGUUUCUAGAGGAAGUAAAAGUCGUAACAAGGUUUCCGUAGGUGAAC
rnacentral:rRNA from 1 species